GAUGAACGCUGGCGGCGUGCCUAAUACAUGCAAGUCGAGCGAACAGACGAGGAGCUUGCUCCUCUGACGUUAGCGGCGGACGGGUGAGUAACACGUGGAUAACCUACCUAUAAGACUGGGAUAACUUCGGGAAACCGGAGCUAAUACCGGAUAAUAUAUUGAACCGCAUGGUUCAAUAGUGAAAGACGGUUUUGCUGUCACUUAUAGAUGGAUCCGCGCCGCAUUAGCUAGUUGGUAAGGUAACGGCUUACCAAGGCAACGAUGCGUAGCCGACCUGAGAGGGUGAUCGGCAACAAUGGAACUGAGACACGGUCCAGACUCCUAAGGGAAGCAGCAGUAGGGAAAAUUCCGCAAUGGGCGAAAGCCUGACGGAGCAACGGCGCGUGAGUGAUGAAGGUCUUCGGAUCGUAAAACUAUGUUAGUAGGGAAGACCAAAUGUGUAAGUAACUAUGAACGUCUUGACGGUACCUAAUCAGAAAGCCACGGAUAACUACGUG
rnacentral:rRNA from 1 species